rnacentral:rRNA from 1 species
ACGGAAGGCAGCAGUGAGGAAUAUUGGACAAUGGAGGCAACUCUGAUCCAGCCAAACCGCGUGAAGGAAGACGGUCCUAUGGAUUGUAAACUUCUUUUGUAAGGGGAUAAACCUAGAUAUGUAUAUCUAGCUGAAGGUACCUUACGAAUAAGCAUCGGCUAACUCCGUGCCAGCAGCCGCGGUAAUACGGAGGAUGCAGGCGUUAUCCGGAUUUAUUGGGUUUAAAGGGUGCGCAGGCGGCACGUUAAGUCAGCGGUGAAAUGUCGGGGCUCAACCCGGGCACUGCCGUUGAAACUGGCGAGCUUGAGUACGGAUGAAGUCGGCGGAAUGUGAUGUGUAGCGGUGAAAUGCUUAGAUAUGUCACAGAACACCGAUUGCGAAGGCAGCUGACUAAUCCGCAACUGACGCUCAGGCACGAAAGCGUGGGGAUCGAACAGGAUUAGAUACCCUGGUA